GACGAACGCUGGCGGCGUGCUUAACACAUGCAAGUCGAACGGAAAGGCCCUGCUUUUGUGGGGUGCUCGAGUGGCGAACGGGUGAGUAACACGUGAGUAACCUGCCCUUGACUUUGGGAUAACUUCAGGAAACUGGGGCUAAUACCGGAUAGGAGCUCCUGCUGCAUGGUGGGGGUUGGAAAGUUUCGGCGGUUGGGGAUGGACUCGCGGCUUAUCAGCCUGUUGGGGGGGUAGUGGCUUACCAAGGCUUUGACGGGUAGCCGGCCUGAGAGGGUGACCGGCCACAUCGGGACUGAGAUACGGCCCAGACUCCUACGGGAGGCAGCAGUGGGGAAUAUUGCACAAUGGGCGGAAGCCUGAUGCAGCAACCCCGCGUGCGGGAUGACGGCCUUCGGGUUGUAACCCGCUUUCGCCUGUGACGAAGCGUGAGUGACGGUAAUGGGUAAAGAAGCACCGGCUAACUACGUG
rnacentral:rRNA from 1 species